rnacentral:lncRNA from 1 species
GUGCGGCCGCCAAUUCAACCUCGAGGGAGCUGAUCUUGGGGGUCUGAGUCCAAGAUCGUUCGCUGGCGCAUUUCUGGAGUUACUCAAGCUUCUUCACGAAGUUGGCCUUCUUCCGAUUGUAGUCCAUGAAGUCCUUUCUGUGGAGGUUCUGAAGGCGAGUAACCUCCAUGGUGGCUUCCGAAUGGCUCUUCCUUAGCUUGUGAAGUUUGGCGUCCAUCUUCUUUGAUUUCUUCAUUAGGUGAUGAACUUUUCUUCUCAAAUCUCCGAUCAUAGACU